rnacentral:siRNA from 1 species
GUGUUCGAUGGUGAGACAU